AAACGGCCGCGUUAGCGUGAGCGUGCUAAGGUAGCGUAAUAAAUAGCCUUUUAAUUGGAGGCCAGUGAAUGGCAAGACUAAGGACAUCUGUACCGCGUAUGAUAAAAAAACUUUUCAUCUGGGUGAAAAGACCCAGAUGACAAAGGAAGACGAAAAGACCCCGCGGAACUUUACCUCUUCCCGUCUAAACAUGCUCAGAAACACAAAAAACAAGAGGUUUGAUUGGGGCAAUCUCGGAACCAACCAAACUUCCGAUUUACCUUAAAUAAAAAUACAAAACUCAAUAAGGACCGAAAAGAAGUUACCCCGGGGAUAACAGCGUAAUCCAGCUUGAAAGUACACAUCGAAAGCUGGGUUUGCGACCUCGAUGUUGGCUUAAGG
rnacentral:rRNA from 1 species